GGCGCUAUAGCCAAGUGGUUACGGCGACAGAUUAGAACAUACAUGGAGAAUUGAGAUAUGUGCUAUCUGUUCCUCUUUGAGGGCGCAGGUUCGAAUCCUGCUGGCGUCG